rnacentral:rRNA from 1 species
GUAUGAGCAACCUGCCUUUCAGAGGGGGACAACAGUUGGAAACGACUGCUAAUACCGCAUAACGUAUUUUGGGGGCAUCCCGGAGAUACCAAAGGAGCAAUCCGCUGAAAGAUGGGCUCAUAUCUGAUUAGUUAGUUGGCAGGGUAACGGCCUACCAAGACUGCGAUCAGUAGCCGGACUGAGAGGUUGAACGGCCACAUUGGGACUGAGAUGCGGCCCAGACUCCUACGGGAGGCAGCAGUGGGGAAUAUUGGGCAAUGGGCGAAAGCCUCGACCCAGCAACGCCGCGUGAAGGAAGAAGGUCUUCGGAUUGUAAACUUCUUUUAUGAGGGACGAAGGACGUGACGGUACCUCAUGAAUAAGCCACGGCUAACUACGUGCCAGCCGCCGC